rnacentral:tRNA from 1 species
GCCCGCGUAGCCCAAUGGCAGAGGCACAACACUUAAAAUGUUGACAGGUGGUGGUUCGACUCCACUCGCGGGUA